GACGAACGCUGGCGGCGGGCGUAACACAUGCAAGUCGAACGGAAAGGCCCUGCUUUUGUGGGGUGCUCGAGUGGCGAACGGGUGAGUAACACGUGAGUAACCUGCCCUUGACUUUGGGAUAACUUCAGGAAACUGGGGCUAAUACCGGAUAGGAGCUCCUGCUGCAUGGUGGGGGUUGGAAAGUUUCGGCGGUUGGGGAUGGACUCGCGGCUUAUCAGCUUGUUGGUGGGGUAGUGGCUUACCAAGGCUUUGACGGGUAGCCGGCCUGAGAGGGUGACCGGCCACAUUGGGACUGAGAUACGGCCCAGACUCCUACGGGAGGCAGCAGUGGGGAAUAUUGCACAAUGGGCGGAAGCCUGAUGCAGCAACGCCGCGUGCGGGAUGACGGCCUUCGGGUUGUAAACCGCUUUCGCCUGUGACGAAGCGUGAGUGACGGUAAUGGGUAAAGAAGCACCGGCUAACUACGUG
rnacentral:rRNA from 1 species